CCUACGGGUGGCUGCAGUGGGGAAUCUUGCGCAAUGGGCGGAAGCCUGACGCAGCAACGCCGCGUGAGGGAUGACGGCCUUCGGGUUGUAAACCUCUUUCGCGAUCGACGAAGGUCAUGCUUCUGGCAUGGCUGACGGUAGGUCGAGAAGAAGCACCGGCCAACUACGUGCCAGCAGCCGCGGUAAUACGUAGGGUGCGAGCGUUGUCCGGAAUUAUUGGGCGUAAAGAGCUCGUAGGCGGUGUGUCGCGUCGGCCGUGAAAACCUGGGGCUUAA
rnacentral:rRNA from 1 species